rnacentral:rRNA from 1 species
UACGUAGGGUGCAAGCGUUGUCCGGAAUUACUGGGCGUAAAGGGCGCGUAGGCGGCACUGUUAGUCAGGCGUGAAAGUCCUGGGCUCAACCUGGGAACUGCGCUUGAUACGGCAGAGCUAGAGGAUGGAAGAGGGUCGCGGAAUUCCCAGUGUAGAGGUGAAAUUCGUAGAUAUUGGGAAGAACACCGGUGGCGAAGGCGGCGACCUGGUCCAUUACUGACGCUGAGGCGCGACAGCGUGGGGAGCAAACAGG